GCUACACAUGCAGUCGAGCGGAACGAUGAUAGCUUGCUAUCAGGCGUCGAGCGGCGGACGGGUGAGUAACGCGUAGGAAUCUGCCUAGUAGUGGGGGACAACAUGUGGAAACGCAUGCUAAUACCGCAUACGCCCUACGGGGGAAAGGAGGGGAUCUUCGGACCUUUCGCUAUUAGAUGAGCCUGCGUAAGAUUAGCUAGUUGGUGGGGUAAAGGCCUACCAAGGCGACGAUCUUUAGCUGGUCUGAGAGGAUGACCAGUCACACUGGGACUGAGACACGGCCCAGACUCCUACGGGAGGCAGCAGUGGGGAAUAUUGGACAAUGGGCGCAAGCCUGAUCCAGCCAUGCCGCGUGUGUGAAGAAGGCCUUAGGGUUG
rnacentral:rRNA from 1 species